rnacentral:rRNA from 1 species
AUACAGAGGGUGCAAGCGUUAAUCGGAAUUACUGGGCGUAAAGCGCUCGUAGGCGGCUAAGUCAGUCGUAUGUGAAAGCCCCGGGCUCAACCUGGGAACUGCAUGCGAUACUGCUUGGCUAGAGUAUGAUAGAGGAGAGUGGAAUUUCCGGUGUAGCGGUGAAAUGCGUAGAUAUCGGAAGGAACAUCAGUGGCGAAGGCGACUCUCUGGAUUAAUACUGACGCUCAGGGGCGAAAGCGUGGGGAGCGAACAGGAUUAGAAACCCCAGUAGUCC